UACGUAGGUGGCAAGCGUUGUCCGGAAUUAUUGGGCGUAAAGAGCUCGUAGGCGGUUUGUCGCGUCUGCCGUGAAAGUCCGGGGCUCAACUCCGGAUCUGCGGUGGGUACGGGCAGACUAGAGUGAUGUAGGGGAGACUGGAAUUCCUGGUGUAGCGGUGAAAUGCGCAGAUAUCAGGAGGAACACCGAUGGCGAAGGCAGGUCUCUGGGCAUUAACUGACGCUGAGGAGCGAAAGCAUGGGGAGCGAACAGG
rnacentral:rRNA from 1 species